GUGAGUGGUCGCGGGCUGAGUCGGGGACCGGUAGGCUGCGGGGAAACGCGGGCUGAGGGGGUCAAGCGGCACUGAAGGGGGAGCCGCGAGCUCAUGGAGGGGACCCUGAUCCCCGGGGCUCAGGCCUCUCCCUCGGGGCCCGUGGCAUCUGCCCUGCUGGGACCGCGUCCCAGCGCCACGUAGCCGCCGCCUGCAGGCCGCGGGCAGAGUCGGGGUGUCGGGGCCGCGCCUCGCACACCGCACCCCCUCUUCCCUGCUGCCCUCGCAGCUGGGCUAGCGAAGGCCCCUCUGAAACAGCUGGAUCGGAACCCCAGUCCACGCCCCGCAGCCCGGUGCCUUUGCUUUAAGGCUCACGAAAGUACCAGACGUGUUUGCCUUUCUCAGAAACACAUACAGAGAGACACACAGGGGGCCGGGUCAUUAUUGUUUGGGGCAAAAAGGAACACACACACACACACCGCCCCAAACAACCCCACAAAACCCCAAACCUCCCACAGUUCUGUUCUAAGUGUGAUCACAGGACAUCUUCGGGUUUCCUGGGAAAAGGUUCAUGAAAUUCAGAUGCAGACGUCUGGUUCCUUAGUGUUGCGGAGUAAAACUUUGCAAGUCCCAAGUCUGUAGGUGGUUUGCGAUGAUGCGGAGGGAUUGAGAGCAGGACCGGGAAAGAUUGAUUGCUUCCUUUGGAACUCUGCCCUCCCUCCCGGCUUGGAAGAGCCUGGUCCGUGCUGUGCAGAGAAGCCAGAGUCUGUGGUUUCAGACUAUGGAUUUCUGGAGCCAAACUCCUGGAUUUGAACUCGGGCUUAGUCACCUAAUAGCCUCAAGAGACCUUGAACAAAAAUUUUCACUUCAUUGUUUUUUUUUGUUUUUGUUUUAACCCUCGUUCGUUGUGAGGAUUAAAGGACUGAAUAGAUAAGAGACACGUAGAACUGUACGUUAUGGAUGGAACAUUGGAAGAGUUAGUUGCUCCAGUGAGACCGUAGCCCCUGUCACUUAAUGAGAUUUGGGAGUGUUGAGCGUCAACGCUGGAGAGUGAACACCUAAAGCUAUGGUUCCAUCCCUGGCGCCAGGUUUGCAGCUCCGAGAAAUCUACCCAAGAGUUACUAAUUUAGACCCUGCGUCCGUUUCUAAGUGGAUUACACUUCAGGCUAAUGAGGCUACACUGGUGAGUUUUGGGGAGCUAGGGAAAUAACCUCGCGCCUCUCUUGUUUGUAAGAGAAUUUGUGUGGCCAACUAUAGUUUGUAGUGAAGUAUGGGUGGCUCACCAGGGAAACUCCACAGGAAUAUUAUUAGUCGUAGCCUUUACCGAGUGCUUCAAAGUUCAAGUGUCCUUGCCGAACGAUCACUGGUUCACUUCCAGUUAGCUUCACUUGAUUUGGCAGCAGGGUGUAGCCUAACCCUGGCUACCUGCUCCACAAGCGUAUUCGGUGUUCCCUAUGAGAACACUGAAACUGGGGCAGUGGAAGUUGGAGUACCAAUCCCUCAGUCUGGGAUAAAGGAGGCAGCUGGUGGCAAUGGGACUUUUAUUUAGCUACUGUGUGUUUGAGCCAUGCUAGCUCCAAGCUCACUGUCGCCCAGGCUGGUCAUGAGCUUAGCUUUCUAAAUGCUGGGAUUCCAGGCCCUGCUGAGGUUUGCUGUCUUAAAUAGGUAAAUUAGGAGGCUAGCACAAUUCCAUUAUCCGGUCCUAAAAUUUACGUGACAAAUUUCAGAAAUGUGGCAGUUUGAAUUUUUAAGCCAUUUGAGAUUUUGAAGAUUUCUGAUUUUCAGCCUAGCUAACCAUUGAAAGGUAACAGGGUGUUUACUUGAAUGAUUUAAGUGCAUUGCAGAGUAGCAUUGGCAAGCUUCUGUUAAAGAGGUGCUAGAGACUAGGGCUUGUGUCUGUGCGCGGGUCAUUUCUGUGGAAAUCAAGACAGCUUGGGAAUGUCAUUUCCCUCCACCAUGUGGGUUUGGAGAUUGAACUCAUGUAAGCGGUGUGUGUUGUGUGUGUGUGUGUGUGUGUGUGUGUGUGUGUGUGUGUGAGUGAGUGUCUUUAUCCACUGAGCCCUAGACUAAAGUUUUUUGAAGUUUUGUUUUGUUUCUGAAUGUCAGUGAGUACACAGCCUUGUCUUCCCCCAACAUGAAAAGGUAGCCCUAAAUUCUGUGACUUAAUGAAAGUUCUCGUAAACCAUACAGUUCGUCAUGGAAAUGUACUCCAAAUGCCUACUAUGGAACUUCACUACUGUACCUGGGUUUAGAAUCCCAUGCCCUCAGAGCAUCCUUGGGACUUAGUACAAGUGUGUGUGAGGUUUGCUGGUGAACAGGCCUAAGCUGAGGGGAAUUAAAUGAUUGCUCAGGUCAGUCCCUUAAAUACCCUGCAUUCCAGCUUGUCAUCACCUUCUAACAAUGCUUUCCUAUUAAUGUACUUGUGGUUUUCAUUUCUGUGUGCUCUUUAGAGUGGACUGUGUCACUGUGCCUCUUAUUGUUAAGGUUAUAGCAAGGAAUUUUCAGGACGUAGAAGAGAGUAGAUGGAAUUCAUACUGCAUUUUAAUAUGUAGCUAUUACAAAUGUUCUAGCUUUCUAAUUUUUAGAGUUGGUCAAGAGAAAUUAUACUUCCUUUGAGGGAAAAUAGUCUUUCAAUUCUAAAUAAAUUUGUUCUGUCCAGUUUUUUCCUUUGUGUUAUAUGCUUAUUUGAGGUAGGGUCUUAAGAACAGGCUUCAGUGUGGAGUUCAGGCUUCAAACUUGUGAUCCUCCUGCCACAGUUUCCUGAGUGUUGUGUUGACCAGCCUGUACCACCACACCCAUUUGUUAAUUUUUAAUGUGGAAAAAUUGUAACUUAUAAAAUCACUUAGUGUGUGUUAGGUAUUUCUUUCCAUGCAUUUAAUUGUUGGCAUUCAAUUGGUAGCAAAUGAACGUCACAAGUUCCGUGAGGUGAUUUCUAGCGCUGCCAGUGUGGGCAGUGAUGUCAGGGUUAGUGUGCAUGACUGUUGUUCAUGCCGUGCUUGCCUGGACGCUGCAGGCAGUGCCCACGUGACCGCAGAGCCACACUUGUUUUGUUUUUUCUGUGUUCAUCCUCCAGCUCUCUUGUUUUCUCUUAAGAGUGCUGGGAGUGUGGAGUGUUGAGUGACAGCAGCUCUCCUCUGCAGUGUUCAGUUCUUAUCUUGCCUGGAGUGGUUAACGCUCUCAAGCCUCUCAUCC
rnacentral:lncRNA from 1 species